rnacentral:rRNA from 1 species
GAUGAACGCUGGCGGCGUGCCUAAUACAUGCAAGUCGAGCGAAUGGAUUAAGAGCUUGCUCUUAUGAAGUUAGCGGCGGACGGGUGAGUAACACGUGGGUAACCUGCCCAUAAGACUGGGAUAACUCCGGGAAACCGGGGCUAAUACCGGAUAACAUUUUGAACCGCAUGGUUCGAAAUUGAAAGGCGGCUUCGGCUGUCACUUAUGGAUGGACCCGCGUCGAAUUAGCUAGUUGGUGAGGUAACGGCUCACCAAGGCAACGAUGCGUAGCCGACCUGAGAGGGUGAUCGGCCACACUGGGACUGAGACACGGCCCAGACUCCUACGGGAGGCAGCAGUAGGGAAUCUUCCGCAAUGGACGAAAGUCUGACGGAGCAACGCCGCGUGAGUGAUGAAGGCUUUCGGGUCGUAAAACUCUGUUGUUAGGGAAGAACAAGUGCUAGUUGAAUAAGCUGACACCUUGACGGUACCUAACCGGAAAGCCACGGCUAACUACGUGCCAGCCGCCGCAGUAA